GACUACUGGGGUAUCUAAGCCUGUUUGCUCCCCACGCUUUCGCUUCUCAGCGUCAGAUAAGGUCCAGAGAACCGCCUUCGCCACUGGUGUUCCUCCUGAUAUCUGCGCAUUCCACCGCUCCACCAGGAAUUCCGUUCUCCCCUACCUUCCUCAAGUCUGCCCGUAUCGAGAGCCGGCUCAGGGUUAAGCCCUGAGUUUUCACUCCCGACGCAACAAACCGCCUACAAGCUCUUUACGCCCAAUAAUUCCGGACAACGCUCGCACCCUACGUAUCACCGCGGCUGCUGGCACGUAGUUAGCCGGUGCUUCUUCUCCCACUACCGUCAGAAACCCUUCGUCAUGGGUGAAAGCGGUUUACAACCCGAAGGCCGUCAUCCCGCACGCGGCGUUGCUGCGUCAGGCUUUCGCCCAUUGCGCAAUAUUCCCCACUGCUGCCCCCCGUAGG
rnacentral:rRNA from 1 species